GCAAACGAACGUGGAUGCCAAGAUUUCCGAAUGGAGCAAUCUGUAAAGAGUCAUGUCUUUACACGAAAGAGGGAACCGGGUGAACUGAAACAUCUAAGUAAUCCGAGGAAAAGAAAGUAACAACGAUACCCUAAGUAGCGGCGAGCGAACGGGGUAGAGCCUAAACCGUAUUCAUGUCAAGGAUGCAGCCGUUGUGGAUACGGGGUAGCGGGAAAGAGAGAGAAAGAACUGCAAGCUAUUUCGCAGACGUAAGCAAAGGAACAAGAAAGAUCUGGAAAGGUCUACCGUAGAAGGUGAAAGUCCUGUAUUGGUAGUUUUCUUGCGCUGUAUCUCUUCUCCCAAGUAAUGUGGAACACGAGGAAU
rnacentral:rRNA from 1 species